GACGAACGCUGGCGGCGUGCUUAACACAUGCAAGUCGAACGGAAAGGCCCUGCUUGCAGGGUACUCGAGUGGCGAACGGGUGAGUAACACGUGGGUGAUCUGCCCUGCACUUCGGGAUAAGCCUGGGAAACUGGGUCUAAUACCGGAUAGGAGCCAUUUUUAGUGUGAUGGUUGGAAAGUUUUUUCGGUGUAGGAUGAGCUCGCGGCCUAUCAGCUUGUUGGUGGGGUAAUGGCCUACCAAGGCGGCGACGGGUAGCCGGCCUGAGAGGGUGGACGGCCACAUUGGGACUGAGAUACGGCCCAGACUCCUACGGGAGGCAGCAGUGGGGAAGAUUGCACAAGGGGCGCAAGCCUGAUGCAGCGACGCCGCGUGGGGGAUGACGGCCUUCGGGUUGGAAACUCCUUUCGCUAGGGACGAAGCUUUUUGUGACGGUACCUAGAGAAGAAGCACCGGCUAACUACGUG
rnacentral:rRNA from 1 species